rnacentral:rRNA from 1 species
GACGAACCGAGCGAACGUUGUUCGGAAUCACUGGGCUUAAAGGGCGCGUAGGCGGGCAUUCAAGUCUGUGGUGAAAUCCUCCAGCUCAACUGGAGAACUGCCUCGGAUACUGGGUGUCUCGAGGGUGGUAGGGGUAUGCGGAACUACCGGUGGAGCGGUGAAAUGCGUUGAUAUCGAUAGGAACUCCGGUGGCGAAGGCGGCAUACUGGACCGCUUCUGACGCUGAGGCGCGAAAGCCAGGGGAGCGAACGGG